rnacentral:rRNA from 1 species
GACGAACGCUGGCGGCGCGCUUAACACAUGCAAGUCGAGCGAGAACCAGGGCUUCGGCCCUGGGGACAGCGGCGAACGGGUGAGUAACACGUGGGUAAUCUGCCCUCGGCACCGGAAUAGCCCGGGGAAACCCGGAUUAAUGCCGGAUGGCCCCUUCACCUCGCGAGGUGUCGGGAAAAGGUAGCUUCGGCCUCUGGCCGAGGAUGAGCCCGCGGCGGAUUAGCUUGUUGGCGGGGUAACGGCCCACCAAGGCGACGAUCCGUAGCUGGUCUGGGAGGACGAUCAGCCACACUGGGACUGAGACACGGCCCAGACUCCUACGGGAGGCAGCAGUGGGGAAUCUUGCGCAAUGGGCGAAAGCCUGACGCAGCGACGCCGCGUGAGUGAUGAAGGCCUUCGGGUUGUAAAGCUCUGUGGGGAGAGACGAAUAAGUGCAGGCUAAUACCCUGCAUGAUGACGGUAUCUCCUUAGCAAGCACCGGCUAACUCUGUGCCAGCCGCCGCCGUAAUAC